rnacentral:rRNA from 1 species
GGUUAAGCGACUAAGCGUACACGGUGGAUGCCCUGGCAGUCAGAGGCGAUGAAGGACGUGCUAAUCUGCGAAAAGCGUCGGUAAGGUGAUAUGAACCGUUAUAACCGGCGAUGUCCGAAUGGGGAAACCCAGUGCAAUUCGUUGCACUAUCGUUAACUGAAUACAUAGGUUAACGAGGCGAACCGGGGGAACUGAAACAUCUAAGUACCCCGAGGAAAAGAAAUCAACCGAGAUUCCCCCAGUAGCGGCGAGCGAACGGGGAGCAGCCCAGAGUCUGAAUCAGCUUGUGUGUUAGUGGAACGGUCUGGAAAGUCCGACGGUACAGGGUGAUAGUCCCGUACACCAAAAUGCACAGGUUGUGAACUCGAAGAGUAGGGCGGGACACGUGGUAUCCUGUCUGAAUAUGGGGGACCAUCCUCCAAGGCUAAAUACUCCUGACUGACCGAUAGUGAACCAGUACCGUGAGGGAAAGGCGAAAAGAACCCCGGCGAGGGGAGUGAAAAAGAACCUGAAACCGUGUACGUACAAGCAGUGGGAGCACCUUCGGGUGUGACUGCGUACCUUUUGUAUAAUGGGUCAGCGACUUAUAUUCUGUAGCAAGGUUAACCGUAUAGGGGAGCCGCAGGGAAACCGAGUCUUAACUGGGCGUUAAGUUGCAGGGUAUAGACCCGAAACCCGGUGAUCUAGCCAUGGGCAGGUUGAAGGUUGGGUAACACUAACUGGAGGACCGAACCGACUAAUGUUGAAAAAUUAGCGGAUGACUUGUGGCUGGGGGUGAAAGGCCAAUCAAACCGGGAGAUAGCUGGUUCUCCCCGAAAGCUAUUUAGGUAGCGCCUCGUGAACUCAUCUUCGGGGGUAGAGCACUGUUUCGGCUAGGGGUCAUCCCGACUUACCAACCCGAUGCAAACUACGAAUACCGAAGAAUGUUAUCACGGGAGACACACGGCGGGUGCUAACGUCCGUCGUGAAGAGGGAAACAACCCAGACCGCCAGCUAAGGUCCCAAAGUCAUGGUUAAGUGGGAAACGAUGUGGGAAGGCACAGACAGCCAGGAUGUUGGCUUAGAAGCAGCCAUCAUUUAAAGAAAGCGUAAUAGCUCACUGGUCGAGUCGGCCUGCGCGGAAGAUGUAACGGGGCUAAACCAUGCACCGAAGCUGCGGCAGCGACACUAUGUGUUGUUGGGUAGGGGAGCGUUCUGUAAGCCUGCGAAGGUGACCUGUGAGGGUUGCUGGAGGUAUCAGAAGUGCGAAUGCUGACAUAAGUAACGAUAAAGCGGGUGAAAAGCCCGCUCGCCGGAAGACCAAGGGUUCCUGUCCAACGUUAAUCGGGGCAGGGUGAGUCGACCCCUAAGGCGAGGCCGAAAGGCGUAGUCGAUGGGAAACAGGUUAAUAUUCCUGUACUUGGUGUUACUGCGAAGGGGGGACGGAGAAGGCUAUGUUAGCCGGGCGACGGUUGUCCCGGUUUAAGCAUGUAGGCUGAUUGUCCAGGCAAAUCCGGAUAAUCAAGGCUGAGGUGUGAUGACGAGGCACUACGGUGCUGAAGUAACAAAUGCCCUGCUUCCAGGAAAAGCCUCUAAGCAUCAGGUAACAUCAAAUCGUACCCCAAACCGACACAGGUGGUCAGGUAGAGAAUACCAAGGCGCUUGAGAGAACUCGGGUGAAGGAACUAGGCAAAAUGGUGCCGUAACUUCGGGAGAAGGCACGCUGGUGUGUAGGUGAAGCCCCUGCGGGUGGAGCUGAGACCAGUCGAAGAUACCAGCUGGCUGCAACUGUUUAUUAAAAACACAGCACUGUGCAAACACGAAAGUGGACGUAUACGGUGUGACGCCUGCCCGGUGCCGGAAGGUUAAUUGAUGGGGUUAUCCGUAAGGAGAAGCUCUUGAUCGAAGCCCCGGUAAACGGCGGCCGUAACUAUAACGGUCCUAAGGUAGCGAAAUUCCUUGUCGGGUAAGUUCCGACCUGCACGAAUGGCGUAAUGAUGGCCAGGCUGUCUCCACCCGAGACUCAGUGAAAUUGAACUCGCUGUGAAGAUGCAGUGUACCCGCGGCAAGACGGAAAGACCCCGUGAACCUUUACUAUAGCUUGACACUGAACAUUGAGCCUUGAUGUGUAGGAUAGGUGGGAGGCUUUGAAGCGUGGACGCCAGUCUGCGUGGAGCCAACCUUGAAAUACCACCCUUUAAUGUUUGAUGUUCUAACGUUGGCCCCUGACCGGGGUUGCGGACAGUGUCUGGUGGGUAGUUUGACUGGGGCGGUCUCCUCCCAAAGCGUAACGGAGGAGCACGAAGGUUAGCUAAUCCUGGUCGGACAUCAGGAGGUUAGUGCAAUGGCAUAAGCUAGCUUGACUGCGAGCGUGACGGCGCGAGCAGGUGCGAAAGCAGGUCAUAGUGAUCCGGUGGUUCUGAAUGGAAGGGCCAUCGCUCAACGGAUAAAAGGUACUCCGGGGAUAACAGGCUGAUACCGCCCAAGAGUUCAUAUCGACGGCGGUGUUUGGCACCUCGAUGUCGGCUCAUCACAUCCUGGGGCUGAAGUAGGUCCCAAGGGUAUGGCUGUUCGCCAUUUAAAGUGGUACGCGAGCUGGGUUUAGAACGUCGUGAGACAGUUCGGUCCCUAUCUGCCGUGGGCGCUGGAGAAUUGAGGGGGCUGCUCCUAGUACGAGAGGACCGGAGUGGACGCAUCACUGGUGUUCGGGUUGUCAUGCCAAUGGCACUGCCCGGUAGCUAAAUGCGGAAGAGAUAAGUGCUGAAAGCAUCUAAGCACGAAACUUGCCCCGAGAUGAGUUCUCCCUGAGACUUUAAGUCUCCUGAAGGAACGUUGAAGACGACGACGUUGAUAGGCCGGGUGUGUAAGCGCAGCGAUGCGUUGAGCUAACCGGUACUAAUGAACCGUGAGGCUUAACCUU